CUGCCCCCUCCACCGGGACAGCCUCGGGAAACCGUGGGUAAUACCGGAUACUCCGGGACGGCCGCAUGGCCGGCCCGGGAAAGCCCAGACGGGAGGGGAUGGGCCCGCGGCCUGUUAGCUAGUCGGCGGGGUAACGGCCCACCGAGGCGAUUAUGGGUAGCCGGGUUGAGAGACCGACCGGCCAGAUUGGGACUGAGACACGGCCCAGACUCCUACGGGAGGCAGCAGUGGGGAAUCUUGCGCAAUGGGCGGAAGCCUGACGCAGCGACGCCGCGUGCGGGACGAAGGCCUUCGGGUCGUAAACCGCUUUCAGCAGGGACGAGGCCCUCACGGUGACGGUACCUGCAGAAGAAGCCCCGGCUAACUACGUGCCAGCAGCCGCGGUAAUACGUAGGGGGCGAGCGUUAUCCGGAUUCAUUGGGCGUAAAGCGCGCGUAGGCGGCCUGUUAGGUCGGGGGUCAAAUACCGGGGCUCAACCCCGGUCCGCCCCCGAUACCGGCAGGCUUGAGUCUGGUAGGGGAAGGCGGAAUUCCCAGUGUAGCGGUGGAAUGCGCAGAUAUUGGGAAGAACACCGGCGGCGAAGGCGGCCUUCUGGGCCACGACUGACGCUGAGGCGCGAAAGCUAGGGGAGCGAACAGGAUUAGAUACCCUGGUAGUCCUAGCCGUAAAC
rnacentral:rRNA from 1 species